UUAGAUGAAGGAUUCAUUUCAUUCCAAGCCAGUUAUAAAAAUUCGCAUCUUCAAGCUUAGCUUCUAAGUAUGACAGCAGCGAUGAAAAUGGUUCUUGUUUUUGCGUUUCUUAUUUUGGUUCUUUCAACAGACUGGGCCUUAGGAAUUCGAAAUCUCGCGAGGAUCAACAAAGGAAAGCGAAACUCGAUCCACUCUUGCCAGCAUGGGACGGAUCUAGAUGCUGACUGUUUCCGGAGCAUAGUCUGUAGUGCUGCGCGGCAAAUGAGAUGCUAUAGUUCAGAAACUAUUAACAUCACGAACUAGUAGACGAACUUGGAAAGCAUCGUGCAUAUCUGAUCCCUCAAAUUUGACAAUCUCUGGAACUAGACGAGCCAAUUAUACAGCUAUAUUGUUUAUAAUUUAAUGAUAUAUAAUAAGAUUGUUAAAAUUAUUCUAAAACUUAAAAUCUAUACUUUCAUCGAAGGACGAGAUACUUAUGUAUUGAUAAAUAGGCUAAAGCUUUAGCUGUUAUAAUUGCAAUAAAAACUAGAUUGUUGAUAA
rnacentral:lncRNA from 1 species